CCCUAGAACAGCCUUCACCUCACGCACAGUUGUAACAGACGUGUGUAGUCCGAGGCGUUUCCCUCCCUGGUGUGGGCAGGCUGCUCUAUGGGGCAGCUGGUCAGGCCUUGUCCUAGCCAAUGGGCUGUCAGUGUGGGCAGGAAGAGGCUUCAGUGAUGCCGUGGCUCUGAUGUGGCUCAUUUCCUGUAUCGGUAGCUUCCUGUCCUCCUGCUUGCUGCUGGAGCCAAUCAAGGUGCUACUAGAAGGCCUGUACUAUGCCCUGUGGGUGAAGAGGCUCCGUCCAGAGGAGCAGGAUGUCCUGGUGGAGUGUCCUCGUGUUGACAGAGUUGUCCAGCGUGUCCCCAGAGUCAGACCACCCCAAGGCUUCGCUCUGUCCCAGGCCAGACAGCAGGC